rnacentral:lncRNA from 1 species
UUGGCGACAAUAAGGCUCCUUGGUGCCAAGGUGAAUGAGCUACCAUGUAUCCCUUAGCAAUUAAAUCUAGCUGCCUUGUGCUUCAACACCACAAAUUAAUUUUCUUGCUUUCCAACUUCUAGGUUUAAAUAGUAUCUUAGUUAGGAUAAUUAUCCUCUUUCACUAUUUGACUCUGAAGCUAAAGAGUUAGGCCUUCCCUGGCUGCUCUUAUCAAGAUUAUAGCCCCAGACAAAGCCUUUGGUGGAUUUGAUUCUUAGGAACCUAUAUGGGGAC